rnacentral:rRNA from 1 species
AACGAACGCUGGCGGCGUGGAUUAGGCAUGCAAGUCGUGCGAGAAAGGGGUAGCAAUACUCCGAGUAAAGCGGCGAACUGGUGAGUAACAGGUGGGUAAUGUACCCUGAAGUGGGGGAUAACACCGGGAAACCGGUGCUAAUACCGCAUGUGAUCACGAAGACCAUGGUCUUUGUGGUUAAAGCAGUGAUGCGCUUCGGGAUCGGCCCGCCCCCGAUUAGCUUGUUGGUGAGGUCAAAGCUCACCAAGGCGACGAUCGGUAGCUGGUCUGAGAGGAUGGUCAGCCACACUGGAACUGAGAUACGGUCCAGACUCCUACGGGAGGCAG